CCGGCCGGACCGGACCGGCACGGCGGNGGUAACACGUAUGCAACCUGCCCCUGUCAGGGGGACAACCCGCCGAAAGGCGGGCUAAACCCGCGUACAUGCCACCGGGGCAUCCCGGAGGCAGGAAAGGCUUCGGCCGGACAGGGAUGGGCAUGCGGCGCAUUAGGCAGUAGGCGGGGUAACGGCCCACCUAACCGACGAUGCGUAGGGGUUCUGAGAGGAAGGUCCCCCACACUGGUACUGAGACACGGACCAGACUCCUACGGAAGGCAGCAG
rnacentral:rRNA from 1 species